GCCCUGGAAAGAAGCUGCUUCAAGUCCAGGCCUGGGACUUGCCUGGGAACCCUGGGGUGCCUGGGGAACUGCCACUUUGCUUUUCUGGGGC
rnacentral:snoRNA from 1 species